rnacentral:rRNA from 2 species
GAGUUUGAUCCUGGCUCAGAACGAACGCUGGCGGCAGGCUUAACACAUGCAAGUCGAGCGCACAGUUUACUGUGAGCGGCAGACGGGUGAGUAACGCGUGGGAAUCUACCUUGAGCUACGGGAUAACAGAGAGAAAUUUCUGCUAAUACCGUAUGUGGCCUUUGGGCGAAAGAUUUAUCGGCUUAAGAUGAGCCCGCGUUGGAUUAGCUGGUUGGUGGGGUAAAGGCCUACCAAGGCGACGAUCCAUAGCUGGUCUGAGAGGAUGAUCAGCCACACUGGGACUGAGACACGGCCCAGACUCCUACGGGAGGCAGCAGUGGGGAAUAUUGGACAAUGGGCGCAAGCCUGAUCCAGCCAUGCCGCGUGAGUGAAGAAGGCCUUAGGGUUGUAAAGCUCUUUCACCGGUGAAGAUAAUGACGGUAGCCGGAGAAGAAGCCCCGGCUAACUUCGUGCCAGCAGCCGCGGUAAUACGAAGGGGGCUAGCGUUGUUCGGAUUUACUGGGCGUAAAGCGCGCGUAGGCGGAUAGAUAAGUCAGAGGUGAAAUCCCGGGGCUCAACCCCGGAAUUGCCUUUGAUACUGUUUAUCUUGAGUGCAGAAGAGGUAAGUGGAAUUCCGAGUGUAGAGGUGAAAUUCGUAGAUAUUCGGAGGAC